GCACGUUAGCCCGAGGACGCCCUGAGCCGUCACCGCCCCGGGGCCGGGGGGCGCACCCAGGUCCUGGGGGGCCGGGCCAGGGGCCUGCUGCGGGCCGCCCGCCCUGCAACCACGGCCGCACCGCACCAGCGCCCCAAACACAGACCGCGGCUCCCCGCCGUCGAGAGCGCUGGCCAGGCCGAGGCCCAGGAGGGGUGCACACCCUCGCCCCGCCCCUGCAGGUGCCCAGAGGACGCAGAGAGGAAAACCAAUGCCCCAGAGCGACACGGCCCACAAGAGCAGGACCCCGGAAAGCUGAGGUCACCCAGGGCCCCGGGGCGGGAGGGGUGGCCACCUCUGUCCCCACAGCUCUGCGCCGCCCACUGAGCCACCCAGAAGCAGGGACCCUCACCGCCGUCGCCCCAAGCCGUGCCCCACGGCCCCCAAGUCCACUCUGCUGGUCAGACCCCAGCCACGGACAACUCACCACGGAAAUGACCCCAAGCACAGCAGCCCCCGGGCUCCCCUGGGUGGAGCUGGUCCUCACACCCCCGUAAACGUGCGGAACAGCAAGUGUUUCCCUCUUUUUCUUUAGCAAGACCACCCACAAGACGUGCUGCGAGCGCCGUCCUCCCACCGUGCGCACCGAGAGCUCUGGGCCCCAAGGCCCGGUCCCUACGGGGACACUCGCAGGACGUGCACCCCUACUCAGGCCAUCACGGCGCCAGCAGCCGGCCGUGUGCACUUUGCCACAGCUCCCAGCGACGCCACGGCCUGGAGCCCGGCCACCUGCUCGCCCCGUGGAUGCCCACCCGAUGCCACAUCCCCGCCAGCAUCGCACAGAAGUCCCCGUCCUGUCCACAGAAGUCAAGCAUCUUCUUACACUUAGGAGCUUCUCACACGUUUGGUCGCGUGUGUGCGGGGCGUGCGGUUCGGGGACUGGGGGCGGGAGGGGGUGCAGCCCUGGGGGAGAUGGUAAAACCCGAGCUCGGCGGGACCACCCGGGAGGCCCAGGACAGCAGGUGGGAGCCACGCACACCCCCGCACGCCCCCCACGCCCACGAACAUGACCUGGUCAGCAGCCUAACGUCUGCGGAGAAUCUUUUCCACAAACACGUUUUAAAAACAUGAAUUGGCGGGACCCCCUGGGGGCUCAGCGGUCAAGGGUCUGCCUUCAGCUCGGGCGUGACCCCGGGUCCCGGGAUCGGGUCCCACAUCGGGCUCCCCACAGGGAGCCUGCUUCUCCCUCGGCCUGCGUCUCUCAGGAAUGAAUGAAUAAAAUCCUUAUAAAAGACCACAGGAUUGGGACUACAACGUACAGUUUCAGAGGACAGCUUCCACUUAACACGUGGAUGCACGCGGCCAUCUGUCCGUGCAACCCCUUCCUGCCACGUGGAGACGCUGCUGUCGAACACCCACGCGGCUUCCGUGGGCCGGGCCUAUGGACCACGACUCGGUGGGGUCCCUACAGGAGUGUGCACGCGUCCGAUCGCCUCCGGAGCGAACACUGCGUGGCUGUCCCAGCUGCCACGCUUCCUGCGGAGCCACGCUGGGUGUGACGGGACACCGACGCCGGUCCUCGCCGGCACGCACGGCCCACGGCUGGGGACAAGAGGGAGACUCUGGGCUGUGCGUGCAGAGCCAGGGAGUGGCCACCCUUCCCGAGGGAGCAGCUCAGCCUGUGGUCCCCGGGGCGGGGGGGGGGGGGUCCGGCGUCCCUACGGCAGGACAGGGGACAGGGAAAGCCGCACACCUGGCCCGCGCCCUCCGCCGUCCCUCGGCCCCGACACACUUGCCGCCGUGGCAGCUUUCCGAGGCACGGCGAUCCCGCUUUUCCACUAUCACCGAAUAAAGCAAAGGCGCCACCCACUCCGGGAUGGAGAGGGGGAAGAGAGGAAAUGAACUUUUAUGUUAUUUUAUUUAAAACAACCUUUUUUUUUUGAGAACGUAUUUAUUCAUGGCUUCUAUUCUGCUUCCAUAAACACGAAAGUUAAAGUGCUGAA